CCGAGGAGCCGGGAGACCUGCAGUUGUUUACGCGGACCUUCUAAUACCGUCUUAGCCGGAAAUAGCACCAGAGGGAGAUUGAGAGAAAACGUGUCCCAGACCAUUCGCUACUCCAACGGCAGUUUCGAUAGUUUCUCUCAUGUUCUGUUUAUUUUAUGUUUAGGCUGGAAUUUUAACUAAUGUUCUAAAGCUUAGAUCUGCCUGGCUCACCUAAUGUUAUAAUCAAUCCCCAAAGUCGCUGAAGACUCUAAGGAACAGCUUGAAAGGAUCAAAGGAACCAGUACCCACAGAACAAUAGCAAGUGGCAGUGCAUCUGUUCUCAGCCUGUGGCGUUGUGAAGACCGGGACUCGGACACUGGGCUCACAGGUAUAAAGAUGAAUAACAAUACCUGUCUGGACUCAUGAAUGAAGAUGGAAUGAGAUACUGCCUAGCACAUUGUGAAUGCUGAAUAAACGUCAGUUUCCUUCUCCUGUCCUUGAGCGCUAGCAACCCCCAUCUGAUUCUUUGGGGAAAGACGUUUGUUUUUUCGCCUAAAUAUAGCAUGUUUCUUGACUCUUUAUACCAACUUCCUUUAAAAGUAAUCCACCGAUGCGUUUAUUAAACUACAUAGUAUUAACUCUGCCGGAGUCAAUAAUAACCAACGAGCUAUUUUAAAGAAGAGUAUUAGCAGAUUUAAGCAAACGGAUGAAAAGUUAUUUUAGCGCAGUUUUAGGGAUUACUCACCCUAAUUUAUCUUUCACUAACAGAUUGCUAUCCUCUACUGAUACCCUGCGCAUACAGAAAAUUACAUUUACUUAUGGUAUUGUUUAGGUGGGUUAGUCUGUAACUUUUAGUAAAAUUUAUUGACAGGAUAAAAAUGAACGCUUUGAAACAGUGCAAAGUGGGGGAAACGAGGCCAAGCAAGAAAGGAAAUUACUAGAAUUCACGGUCAGAAGACUGAUUAGAGCGCAUUUGCCUUCGAGAAUUAGAUUCUCUGCAGAAUGGAGGUAAAAGCCAGUUCUCGAGAAACAAACAACGGCGAGGACAGCGGAGUACGGUGUUAAAGGAUCUUGACAGCCAGAAGGGUCAGAAACGGUUACAAUAACCUUCACCGAAGAGAGGAUUUUCUUAUCUUCCGUGCCUCCUGCAGUUAAUGCCAUUUACUGCAUUGUCAAUUUUUUAAAGGGGAAAAUAUGCCACACAGCAGCUCUCAAUAGGUAACUGACAUGCACCACAGACGUUGCCUUUCAAAAAACUUCACCUCAAACCGGUUCCAAAACUCAAAAAUCCCUUUCAAGCCAAACUCACGGCGCGUUCGUCAUUUACGAACGCCAGGACCUCGAGGCAGGAGCUAAUGCUAGGUACACUAAGUCCACAUCCUCCUGAAAAUCGGCAAUUUCAGUGCUAAGACCGAAAAGUAACUCGCUAUUUGUUUAUAAUUUCUGUCCAAUUUAAAACCGAGCGAUUUCCAGAAGGGAUUCGAGACAAUUUUCAAUGUGUUCAAUUAGGCAGUCGCCAGUUUCUACAGCUCACUUCACGAACCCCGUUACCCCUCGCUGCGCCCUCCUCCUCCCGCCCCGCAAGGCCCUGCGCGCUCUGCGGGCGCGCCAGCCUAAAAGGCCGGGCCGCUGCGAGGAGCUUCGGCGCGGCC